rnacentral:rRNA from 1 species
GAGUUUGAUCCUGGCUCAGGACGAACGCUGGCGGCGCGCCUAACACAUGCAAGUCGAACGAAGGGAAGGGGGCUUGCCCCCUGAACUUAGUGGCGGACGGGUGAGUAACACGUGAGCAACCUGCCCUAUAGAGGGGGAUAACGUUUGGAAACGAACGCUAAUACCGCAUAACGCGCUGGGGGGACAUCCCUUUGGCGCCAAAGGAGCAAUCCGCUAUAGGAUGGGCUCGCGUCCGAUUAGAUAGUUGGCGGGGUAACGGCCCACCAAGUCGACGAUCGGUAGCCGGACUGAGAGGUUGAACGGCCACAUUGGGACUGAGACACGGCCCAGACUCCUACGGGAGGCAGCAGUGGGGGAUAUUGCACAAUGGAGGGAACUCUGAUGCAGCGACGCCGCGUGAGGGAAGAAGGUUUUCGGAUUGUAAACCUCUGUCUUCGGUGACGAAACGAGACGGUAGCCGAGGAGGAAGCCACGGCUAACUACGUGCCAGCAGCCGCGGUAAUACGUAGGUGGCAAGCGUUGUCCGGAAUUACUGGGUGUAAAGGGAGCGUAGGCGGGAAAGCAAGUUGAAUGUUUAAGGUACGGGCUCAACCUGUACAAGCGUUCAAAACUGUUUUUCUUGAGUGGAGUAGAGGUAAGCGGAAUUCCUAGUGUAGCGGUGAAAUGCGUA